CCUAGUUACUCAGUGAUUGGACAAUGUUUGUCAAAUAAAAACAAAAGUGCUACGGUAGCCAAAAUGAAAAUUUUUGCGAACUAAACAAGGCCUUUAUUGACAAAUUAAAGGGUUAGGAGAAUUCCUAUGAAUGGACGUUUUCCGUGAGUACAGAAUAAUGCUGAGUGAUUCAUGGACUGGACGGCUUCUAUCUUCCCUGUUCUAUUCAGCGACUAGAUAACUAACUGAGCUUGUCUGUCUCCACUUCACCCACCACCGUCGUCGUCGGUGAAACACGGCUUGAGUACGUACGGUAAUAAAGAUCUUGAACAGUCGCUUCAACCUACUCCUGUCAUUUUGUUUUGAACUGUCAUAGAAAUCGAGGAUAUGAUGAUCUUUUUGUGUGGUCUUUUCAAUGGAAUAUAUAUGCGAUUAACAACGGUCCUCUUGUCCAGUGUGGAUUGCUUCUAAAUCAGACAGCGAAAUUGGAAAUCAAUCUUCCAAGGCGGUAAAACCAUUCAUUAGCGGUGUAUUCCCUCUGUCCUGAAAAAAUAAAUUCCUAACAAAUUUAGGACAUAAUAUCAAAUAAGAUAAAAGACCAUGCUACCUCUGAUUAAACAGCAAAAACCUUAAUAGCUUUUUGGUUACUAGAAAUCUUAAUUGAAUAGUGUCGACCGAUCGAGUCCAGCAGGAGCAGGACCAUUAUAUUCUUGGCCGGCCGGCCAUUGACCGACCGAUCGAGUUAGCUAACUGGCAAACUGCGGGUGUGCAUUUACCAAAUCACCAGUUGGCCAGCCGAGUGGAUGGUAUUCAAGUGAAAAGGUCUCUAGCUAGUGGUUAAAGCAACUGGUAGUGAUCCUAAAGAGCUAAUCAUGUUUAUGUUCGAAUACUUUGUAGGAUCGAUAUACUCUAGGGGAUAGGCAAUCAGAGGGGGGCGAAUGAUUGCGUAAGCCAAAAUUAAAAUCUAAAGUUCACCCUAAACACAAAACCAAAGUAAGCCCUUUUUAAUUAAGACAGAACAUUGUGCUUUUAAUAGAAAUAAACUCGACCAAAAAUAUGCUCCAAUUGACCUCAAAAUUUAAUACAAUAAACUAUAUAAAAUAUGCAAAUGAACCCAACUGGAAUCAUGUUAAUCGAAGGUCUAGAACUCGAGAUAUAAAAUAAAAAUGUCACUGUGUGUGAUAAUGACGAGAACUGAUCCAGUUCUAUUUUUGAUUAUGCGACAUCAAUUAAAGCUUAUGCCAUGAGACUUUUCAGAUUACUAGCACAAUACCCUAGCAACAAAAUAAACAUAUGUAAACUUGCAAACAAGAUAUGAAUCUGAAACAAAAGGCUUGACAUGUAAAUCAAGAAGCUGAUAUGUAGAACGCGACUAACAUCACAUUGAUAUGAGAUAAUUGGACUUCAUUGCUCUCAUAAUAUGUUCACAAGAUGCAACUUACAAGCAUCCACAAGAGAACUCUACAAAAGUUCCCGAAGCACUUAAAACAACUACCGGCUAAUCCAGCAUGCGCUGCCUCUCUUUUCUAUGGGUUGCACUCGUGUGCCUCUGCAAUUCUCUCAUCAUACAGACAACGAUGUCCACCUUUUAUAGGCAGUCCUGCAUGCUGAUUCAAGCCUCAAAGUUACUACAACCGUUCACAUGGUCUGCACCAUGACCAAGCUCCACGCCACCAAGCCAAAAAUAGUUGCGCGAACCUCUCCUUGCCAAUUGCCACAUCCUGGUCAAAAUUUGAUGGCGCCACCAGCCAUCCAAGCUAGUCUUCCUUCUUUUUCUAAUCGUCACUUGACCAAACCAAGUUCACCAUGCAACAUGCAACUCAGUUCUCUAGCCCACCGAACAUCUCGCAUGACAUCCAUGACCGAUAGGACCUCAGUUCCUCCCUGAACUUAGUCCCGAAACCUCAGUUCCUCCUUGAACCUAGUUCCAGUCCGUCAUCGACCAUGUUCUGCCUCAAGCUAACACCUGCACAUGAACAAACAAGCGACAAGUACGAGCCCAAGUCCAAGACUUGACUCAAGUCAAUCCGCACAACACCUCACACGAGCAUGUCAUGCAACAAUUCCAAAUCACCUGCUAUCACAACCAUAUAUAGACAACACAUGCAUAUCAAAUUAUGCCAUAAUUCAAAUCACUUUGCAAUGCCAAUUUCAUAUCAAGCCAAUUUUUCAUUACAUGAUCUCACAAUCUCCCCCUUGAUGAAAACAUUGGCAACACCAUUUAAAUAAUGAACAUUGGCAUUUACAUCCACCAAAUUAUUUUUAAAUCAAUCGCAAAGUGAAAAAAUAAAAAUAAAAAGAUCAUAUAAAAAGAUCCAAAAAGAAGAAAUGAUUUGAAAUUAUCUCCCCCUUUCUUUUCUCUCAAAAAAAUCACUCAUGUGAACAUGCAAUGGAUAAAACUCUUUCUCCCCCUUUGACAAUGGAUUCAUCAAGAACAUAAAAGACAGCAAAAGAAGGCUGAACACGACACUAAAAAUGACAACUCCCCCUCAACAAAUGUUAUGAUAUGAGGAAAAUGCAAAGCUUCAAGAGUACAACAGUCAGAGUAAAAAGAUGCUCUAGUUGGUGUUGUCAUGUGUGUAGCAACAAGUACAAGCCAUAGCAAAUGCUCAAAUUGAUCAACUGAAAAAUAUGAUACUUAAGCAUUUUGAUUUAGUUUUAAGUAAUUCAAAGAGAUGUUCACCAAUGAUUGUAGCACAUAGCAAGUAUAACCAGGAGAUCAAACUAGUGCUAACACAUGCAUACAAAAGUGAACUACCCCAUAUAACAGUCAUACAUCAUGUCUCAAAGACUCACUUAAUACUUGUGGUUUUCAAAGUUUUAUCAGAGUUUGCAGCGGUUCACAAGUAUUAGUUAGAACAUGUGUAUGCGAGUGGUUAUCCAUACUGUCCGCCAAAAUAUAAUUUUUCUUUUCUUUUCAACCACGCCAAGUUCAUCCCUUAGUGCAAUGAGAAGCCGUCUCAUCACGAGUGGUUGUGGACUACACUACAAGGCUCAAGUUCAUCCAAGUGGGAAGCUGUCUUGAUACCUUGACGUGGGACAGUAAAGACCCAAC
rnacentral:lncRNA from 1 species